rnacentral:sRNA from 1 species
UGCCUCUCAUCUAGUUAAAGAGCAAUUAGAGUUGGGACAUAUAGAACCAUCUACUAGUCCUUGGAAUACUCCUAUUUUUGUUAUUAAAAAUCUGGCAAAUGGAGACUCCUACAGGAUUUAAGAGCUAUUAACAAAACUAUGGAAACCAUGGGAGCUCUACAAUCGGGCCUCCCUUCUCCUGUGGCUAUACCAAAAGGAAAAUAUCUUGUAGUUAUAGAUCUACAGGACUGUUUUUUUAACAUUCCUCUUGAAAAACAGGAUUGUAAAAGUUUUGCUUUUAG